UGGCUCAGGAUGAACGCUGGCGGCGUGCUUAACACAUGCAAGUCGAACGAGAAUCAGUGGAACAAGGAUUCGUCUGAGGGAAGCUGAGGAAAGUGGCGGACGGGUGAGUAACGCGUGAGCAAUCUGCCUUGGAGUGGGGAAUAACGGCUGGAAACAGCCGCUAAUACCGCAUGAUGCAUCUGAGUCGCAUGGUUUGGAUGCCAAAGAUUUAUCGCUCUGAGAUGAGCUCGCGUCUGAUUAGCUAGUUGGCGGGGUAAUGGCCCACCAAGGCGACGAUCAGUAGCCGGACUGAGAGGUUGGCCGGCCACAUUGGGACUGAGACACGGCCCAGACUCCUACGGGAGGCAGCAGUGGGGAAUAUUGGGCAAUGGGCGCAAGCCUGACCCAGCAACGCCGCGUGAAGGAAGAAGGCUUUCGGGUUGUAAACUUCUUUUAUUCGGGACGAAGAAAGUGACGGUACCGAAUGAAUAAGCCACGGCUAACUACGUG
rnacentral:rRNA from 1 species